AACCAUUCUCACCUGCGGCUAGACCUGCGGAAGGAUCAUUACCGAGUGUAGGGCCCUCUGGGUCCAACCUCCCACCCUUGUCUAUCGUACCUUGUUGCUUCGGCGGGCCCGCCAUUCGUGGCCGCCGGGGGGCUUCUGCCCCCGGGCCCGUGCCCGCCGGAGACACCAACACGAACACUGUCUGAAGGUUGCAGUCUGAGUUGAUUUAUUCAAUCGUUAAAACUUUCAACAACGGAUCUC
rnacentral:misc_RNA from 1 species